UGGGGAAUAUUGCACAAUGGGCGCAAGCCUGAUGCAGCCAUGCCGCGUGUAUGAAGAAGGCCUUCGGGUUGUAAAGUACUUUCAGCGGGGAGGAAGGGAGUAAAGUUAAUACCUUUGCUCAUUGACGUUACCCGCAGAAGAAGCACCGGCUAACUCCGUGCCAGCAGCCGCGGUAAUACGGAGGGUGCAAGCGUUACUCGGAAUUACUGGGCGUAAAGCGCACGCAGGCGGUCUGUCAAGUCGGAUGUGAAAUCCCCGGGCUCAACCUGGGAACUGCAUUCGAAACUGGCAGGCUAGAGUCUUGUAGAGGGGGGUAGAAUUCCAGGUGUAGCGGUGAAAUGCGUAGAGAUCUGGAGGAAUACCGGUGGCGAAGGCGGCCCCCUGGACAAAGACUGACGCUCAGGUGCGAAAGCGUGGGGAGCAAACAGG
rnacentral:rRNA from 1 species